AAACUUUCAACAACGGAUCUCUUGGUUCCAGCAUCGAUGAAGAACGCAGCGAAAUGCGAUAAGUAAUGUGAAUUGCAGAAUUCCGUGAAUCAUCGAAUCUUUGAACGCACAUUGCGCCCCCUGGUAUUCCGGGGGGCAUGCCUGUUCGAGCGUCAUUG
rnacentral:rRNA from 1 species